rnacentral:rRNA from 1 species
UACGUAGGGUGCAAGCGUUGUCCGGAAUUAUUGGGCGUAAAGAGCUCGUAGGCGGUUUGUCGCGUCUGCUGUGAAAACCCGAGGCUCAACCUCGGGCCUGCAGUGGGUACGGGCAGACUAGAGUGCGGUAGGGGAGAUUGGAAUUCCUGGUGUAGCGGUGGAAUGCGCAGAUAUCAGGAGGAACACCAAUGGCGAAGGCAGGUCUCUGGGCUGAUACUGACGCUCAUGCACGAAAGCGUGGGGAGCAAACAGG